GACGAACGCUGGCGGCGUGCCUAAUACAUGCAAGUCGAGCGGACUGAUUAAGAGCUUGCUCUUAUGACGUUAGCGGCGGACGGGUGAGUAACACGUGGGCAACCUGCCCUGUAGAUCGGGAUAACACCGAGAAAUCGGUGCUAAUACCGGGUAAUAUCUGAGAUCACAUGAUCUUAGGUUAAAAGAUGGCUCCGGCUAUCACUACAGGAUGGGCCCGCGGCGCAUUAGCUAGUUGGUAAGGUAAUGGCUUACCAAGGCGACGAUGCGUAGCCGACCUGAGAGGGUGAUCGGCCACACUGGGACUGAGACACGGCCCAGACGCCUACGGGAGGCAGCAGUAGGGAAUCUUCCGCAAUGGACGAAAGUCUGACGGAGCAACGCCGCGUGAGUGAUGAAGGGUUUCGGCUCGUAAAGCUCUGUUGUUAGGGAAGAAACAGUACCGAACGAACUAGGUCGGUACCUUGACGGUACCUAACCAGAAAGCCACGGCUAACUACGUG
rnacentral:rRNA from 1 species